rnacentral:rRNA from 1 species
AGUGAACGCUGGCGGUAGGCCUAACGCAUGCGAGUCGAACGGCAGCACAGGAGAGCUUGCUCUCUGGGUGGCGAGUGGCGGACGGGUGAGGAAUACAUCGGAAUCUACUCUGUCGUGGGGGAUAACGUAGGGAAACUUACGCUAAUACCGCAUACGACCUACGGGUGAAAGCAGGGGACCUUCGGGCCUUGCGCGAUUGAAUGAGCCGAUGUCGGAUUAGCUAGUUGGCGGGGUAAAGGCCCACCAAGGCGACGAUCCGUAGCUGGUCUGAGAGGAUGAUCAGCCACACUGGAACUGAGACACGGUCCAGACUCCUACGGGAGGCAGCAGUGGGGAAUAUUGGACAAUGGGCGCAAGCCUGAUCCAGCCAUACCGCGUGGGUGAAGAAGGCCUUCGGGUUGUAAAGCCCUUUUGUUGGGAAAGAAAUCCAGCUGGCUAAUACCCGGUUGGGAUGACGGUACCCAAAGAAUAAGCACCGGCUAACUUCGUGCCAGCAGCCGCAGUAA